AUUGAACGCUGGCGGCAGGCCUAACACAUGCAAGUCGAGCGAGCGGCGGACGGGUGAGUAAUGUCUGGGAAACUGCCCGAUGGAGGGGGAUAACUACUGGAAACGGUAGCUAAUACCGCAUACUAUCGGAUGUACCCAGAUGGGAUUAGCUAGUAGGUGGGGUAAUGCCUCACCUAGGCGACGAUCCCUAGCUGGUCUGAGAGGAUGACCAGCCACACUGGGACUGAGACACGGCCCAGACUCCUACGGGAGGCAGCAGUGGGGAAUAUUGCACAAUGGGCGCAAGCCUGAUGCAGCCAUGCCGCGUGUAUGAAGAAGGCCCUCGGGUUGUAAAGUACUUUCAGUGGGGAGGCGUUACCCACAGAAGAAGCACCGGCUAACUCCGUGCCAGCAGCCGCGGUAAUUC
rnacentral:rRNA from 1 species